CGUACAUUUUUACAUAAACAUGAGUGACUAAUUUAUUUACUUUCCUUCUGACAUAAAACGUUGUUUCUCUGACUGAAGUAAAGAAUCUUUUAUUGUCAUUUUUACAGCUGGGUUAACUUUAGUUGUGGGUUUGUUUAGCUCUACCUGUGUAAAUGGUACAGUCUAAGGGAGCCCACCUGGGUCAUUAGGAUAAUUACUUGAACCUGUGCAGGAAGGAGGAAAAGCAGGGUUCAUUCUUGGUGGCUCCGGCUCUGGUGGCCCGUGGAGCUCCUAAAGGAUCCAUCAUUACUUUGGGCAGCGUCGUUGCACAGGCGAGGAACCAGCAGCUCCAACAAAUUGAAACAAGGAGCUGUGCCGCUGAAUGUCCACCAGAUGGCGCCGUUUCACCGUCUAGUAAAGAAAAGCAGACCCUUUCAGCCA